UACGUAGGGCGCAAGCGUUGUCCGGAAUUAUUGGGCGUAAAGAGCUCGUAGGCGGUCUGUCACGUCGGAUGUGAAAGCCCGGGGCUUAACCCCGGGUCUGCAUUCGAUACGGGCAGACUAGAGUGUGGUAGGGGAGAUCGGAAUUCCUGGUGUAGCGGUGAAAUGCGCAGAUAUCAGGAGGAACACCGGUGGCGAAGGCAGAUCUCUGGGCCGUAACUGACACUGAGGAGCGAAAGCCAGGGGAGCAAACGGG
rnacentral:rRNA from 1 species